ensembl:vault_RNA Vault Vault RNA
GCGCUGGUUUAGCUCAGUGGUUACUUCGAACAAAUUCUAGUUGAAUACUGCUCUCUAUCCCUCCCCGGGAUCGAACCACGGGCGCUGUCCAGUGCUUUU